rnacentral:rRNA from 1 species
AUUGAACGCUGGCGGCAGGCCUAACACAUGCAAGUCGAACGAGCGGCGGACGGGUGAGUAAUGUAUGGGGAACUGCCUGAUAGAGGGGGAUAACUACUGGAAACGGUAGCUAAUACCGCAUCCUAUCGGAUGAGCCCAUAUGGGAUUAGCUAGUAGGUGGGGUAAAGGCUCACCUAGGCGACGAUCCCUAGCUGGUCUGAGAGGAUGAUCAGACACACUGGAACUGAGACACGGCCCAGACUCCUACGGGAGGCAGCAGUGGGGAAUAUUGCACAAUGGGCGCAAGCCUGAUGCAGCCAUGCCGCGUGUAUGAAGAAGGCCUUAGGGUUGUAAAGUACUUUCAGCGGGGAGGCGUUACCCGCAGAAGAAGCACCGGCUAACUCCGUGCCAGCAGCCGCGGUAAUAC